rnacentral:rRNA from 1 species
AGACCCGAAACCCGGUGAUCUAGCCAUGGGCAGGUUGAAGGUUGGGUAACACUAACUGGAGGACCGAACCGACUAAUGUUGAAAAAUUAGCGGAUGACCUGUGGCUGGGGGUGAAAGGCCAAUCAAACCGGGAGAUAGCUGGUUCUCCCCGAAAGCUAUUUAGGUAGCGCCUCGUGAAUUCAUCUCCGGGGGUAGAGCACUGUUUCGGCUAGGGGGCCAUCCCGGCUUACCAACCCGAUGCAAACUGCGAAUACCGGAGAAUGUUAUCACGGGAGACACACGGCGGGUGCUAACGUCCGUCGUGAAGAGGGAAACAACCCAGACCGCCAGCUAAGGUCCCAAAGUCAUGGUUAAGUGGGAAACGAUGUGGGAAGGCCCAGACAGCCAGGAUGUUGGCUUAGAAGCAGCCAUCAUUUAAAGAAAGCGUAAUAGCUCACUGGUCGAGUCGGCCUGCGCGGAAGAUGUAACGGGGCUAAACCAUGCACCGAAGCUGCGGCAGCGACACUCAGGUGUUGUUGGGUAGGGGAGCGUUCUGUAAGUCUGCGAAGGUGGCCUGUGAGGGUUGCUGGAGGUAUCAGAAGUGCGAAUGCUGACAUAAGUAACGAUAAAGCGGGUGAAAAGCCCGCUCGCCGGAAGACCAAGGGUUCCUGUCCAACGUU